rnacentral:rRNA from 1 species
UACGUAGGGUGCAAGCGUUGUCCGGAAUUAUUGGGCGUAAAGAGCUCGUAGGCGGUCUGUCGCGUCGGAUGUGAAAACCUAGGGCUCAACCCCGGGCCUGCAGCCGAUACGGGCAGACUAGAAUUCGGUAGGGGGGACUGGAAUUCCUGGUGUAGCGGUGAAAUGCGCAGAUAUCAGGAGGAACACCGGUGGCGAAGGCGGGUCUCUGGGCCGAUAUUGACGCUGAGGAGCGAAAGCGUGGGGAGCGAACAGG